AUACGGAGGAUGCAAGCGUUAUCCGGGUUUAUUGGGUUUAAAGGGUGCGUAGGCGGAUGAUUAAGCGUGAGGUGAAAUGCCACUGCUCAACAGUGGAACUGCCUCGCGAACUGGUUGUCUUGAAUGCUCCUGCCGUGGGAGGAAUGUGUGGUGUAGCGGUGAAAUGCAUAGAGAUCACACAGAACACCGAUUGCGAAGGCAUCUCACGAAGGGGUGAUUGACGCUGAGGCACGAAAGCGUGGGGAUCAAACAGGAUUAGAUACCCUGGUAGUCCACGCAGUAAACGAUGAUAACUAACCGCUGGGUCGUAGUGAUUCAGUGGCCAAGCGAAAGCGAUAAGUUAUCCACCUGGGGAGUACGACCGCAAGGUUGAAACUCAAAUGAAUUGGCGGGG
rnacentral:rRNA from 1 species